rnacentral:rRNA from 1 species
UACGUAGGGGGCGAGCGUUGUCCGGAUUUAUUGGGCGUAAAGAGCUCGUAGGCGGUUGGGCAAGUCACGUGUGAAAUCUCCACGCUCAACGUGGAGGCGCCACGUGAGACUGCCCUGACUGGAGUCCGGUAGGGGAGCGUGGAAUUCCCGGUGUAGCGGUGAAAUGCGCAGAGAUCGGGAGGAACACCAGUAGCGAAGGCGGCUCGCUGGGCCAUUCCUGACGCUGAGACGCGAAAGCUAGGGGAGCGAACAGG